GGGUGCGAUCAUACCAGCAAUAUGCACCGAUCCAUCAGAAUCCGAGUUAGCUUGCUGGCGAGAGCAGUACUAGGAUGGUGACCCCUGGAGUCUCGUGUUGCACCCU
rnacentral:rRNA from 1 species